UACUAUAAAGUUGUCGCCCUUUAUUAUAUAUUCGCCACGAUCUAGAAAAUAGAACUGUACACAGUAUGCAAUUAAUUAUUAGAACGAAACAGACUUGUUUGGGUUUUAAAACAAUGGAGACAGUCAGAGAACAUUAAUGGACACAGUGACAUUAUCGUAAAGAACUCUGAUUUGGAUUUCAAGUGUUGUUAUCAACUGUACAUGGUUUCCUAGGAAUAUACAAUCACAAAAGAUCAGUCUGGAAAAAGGAUAUAAACUACAAUGAACUUACAGAUACUCAAAUAGAAACAGAUUGUUGGCGUCCACGCCGAAGCAGUACGCCCUUAUGGAAUGAAAUCAGAUUUUGUGAAAGGGCUAUUGCAACUUCUCCAGCCUUUUCGUCAACCAUAAUAGCCGAACAUUCUGAUUGGUAUGAGUGUUUGAUUAUCAAAGAUAUGUAAAAUGAAUAGCGAACUGGAAAAUUUCGCAAUGUAAACAUAUUCAAAUGAAAUGAUCUUAUGAUACUUUGGAAGACAUUUGAAAGUUCCCACUAGCGAAGGAAGAAAUUCAUUUGUGUUUCUAUGUAUAAUGGAUAUUUUUCUCAAGAAAGCAUAUCAUGGAAAUGCACAGUCGUGGAAAGAAUUUUGAGUGCAGUAUCUGCAAAAAAGCAUUUUCUUUCAAGAGUUCUAUGAAAAGGCACUUGCAUGUUCAUGAGAAGACUUUAAAAUGUGAUGUAUGUGAGAAAGCAUUUUAUUCAAAGAAUAAUCUAGAUGUUCAUAUGGUAAUUCAUUAUAAGGAAAAGAUCCAUAAAUGUGAUAUUUGUGAAAAGGUUUUUGAUUUAAAGGGUAGUUUAAAAAGGCAUAUGAUAGUGCAUACAGGUGAGAGGAAAUUUAAAUGUAACAUUUGUGACCAAGCACUAGUUUCCAAGCAUGGUUUGAAUACACAUAUGUUGAUACAUACGGGUGAGAAAAACUAUAUCUGCAGUGUGUGUGAAAGGUCAUUUUCUUUAAAAUGCAGUUUGAUAGGACAUAUGAGAAUACACACUGGUGAGAAAAGAUUUUUUUGUAGUGAAUGUGAUAGAGCGUUUCUUUAUAAGAUUUCUUGGUUGCGACAUAUAAAAACACACACACACACUGAUGAAAUGAAUGUAUAGCAAAUUUGAUGUGAUUAAUGUUCAUAGAUUAUUAAUAAACUUUAGAAAAUAAAUUAUUGUACAUAAAAAAUGUGAUGCUAUUAAUGUUCAUAAAUUAGAAAUAAGCUUUCGGAAAUAAAUAAUUGUUGCAUUUGUAAG